UAUAUCAUAUACGAGAAAAGCACUCGUAACUUCACCUGUUACUCUUUUCAAAUUAACCGGUGUGAGAUAAUCUCACCCCCACAUCAUUCACGAUUCUCGCCGAUUUUCAGAGUUUAUGCACGACAAUAGCGAAGCUCGACAACAGAUAUAGUUUCCUCCUGCUUCAAUUGAUUUUUUUUUUCUGUGACAUAGAACAACUGCAAGCAUGAGUGAAGUGAAAAGACAAAGAAGUAAUAGGCUCAAUUGUUCUCCGUGGUUGAACAAAAAGACUAAAAGGCCUCUUGUAUAUGUGGACUUAGAUAUGGAGGAGAUGAAUUUUGUGGUGGGUAAAAAAGCAAGGCAUCUAAGAGCUUCUGGUGUAAAAGAACCCCAAAUUACAUUUACGACGAACAUAAAUAUGGGUAGUGGCUUAGGGAAUUCUGGGAAGCUGGAGAGUAAGGAUUAGAUAACCAGACAUUCAACAGGAAUCAUUCAACAUGUUCGUCAAGCAGUGUCAAACGUGAAUACUGGAGAUGCGAUUGAUGAUGAUGUUUUUUAACACCUCUAGAGAAAUUUGGUAACAGCAGUAAUGGAAAUGAAAGAGGGAUGACUAAUUCGGGUAGGAAGACAAGCGCAAACUCAAAGAAACAAGCAAGUGUUGAGUUUGUUAGUGGUGUGCCGGAAGAAAACACAGUAGCUAAUCAGAGGAUAACAAGGAGUAUGAAAAAUGUUAGUCUUAUUUGGUAGGCGUAAAGGGCACACAUUACUUCAUAUAUGCGUGUUUCAUGUUGUUUGAUACGUAAUAUUCACGUGUAGGGGGAACCACAAAAAAAUGCAGGAAGGACUAAUUGGAAAAAUACAAAGAAUGCAUUGGGGAUUAAGAAACAAUAUCCAGCAAAGGUAAUUAAACUUUAUGUUGUUAGAAUUAUGUGGACAUCAUUUGACAAAAAACGAAAACAUUGCACAACUUUGUUGUUUUUAAAACAAGGUGAGGCCAUUGGCAACAAAGAACCCUUAGUUAAUGAUAAAUCACUGGACAAGAAAAGAAGCAGCUAUGACAACUACAUUCAGAAGAAGUUCUAUAAUUCGAGACAUUCUAGUCAAUCUAUCAGAGGAACAAGUUGAUUGGAAAAAGCGUACUGGGUUUGGAGGUAUCUUAGAUAUGAGGAUGGAUAAAUACCCACAUAGACUAGGAUAUAAUGUGGUGGUUGCAUUUAAAACGGACGAAUGUUUGAGCUUGAAAUCAGGAAAUAAUAAGAUAACUAAAGACAUUGUUCACAGUACCAUUGGGCUGCCAAGAGGUAUUGGGAAAGUUAUGUUGUGCAAGGGGAAACAACAUAUGAUAUUUGGGCCUGUCAAUUUCUAGAAAAGCGAACAUGUAUGGUGUCACCUAUCAUGGUGAGGGAUAAGAUGCUUCAAUCUCGGGAGGCAGACAUCACUUUCAAAUUAAAUUUUUUGGUCAUGAUAUACAACUUCUUUAUAGAAGGCCAUCAGAAUCGACACGUGAUGAGUGAUAUUGUGUCUUUUUCCGGUGAUAUUGAUAAUUGUGGAAACUACAAAUGGUGUGGCUUACUAAUCGAGAAGCUGAAACAUACACAUGCUUCUUGGAACAAGAAAAGGAGUAUAGACUUCACCAGCUCACUGCCAUUUUUGAUUGUAAGUGAACCUACUUCUUAAAGAAUUAAAAUUAAGUUUGUCAUGUUCUAAAUGCUUACUGUGACAUAAACUUGUAGUAUUUGUACGUCAGUCGAGUCAACAAUGGCAAAACGAGCAUAGUUCCUUUGCAGACACCGACAUAUAAGGGUUGGUCAGACAUGUACUGACGGAGAGGCAGAAAUUUGAAUGCAAAAACAACUAUUUUGGAAUUACCACACUCGUUGUAUCAAUUGUGACUAUGUGCCGUAUUCCAAAAUAGUUGUUUUUGCAUUCAAAUUUCUGCCUCUCCGUGAGUAACAUGUCUGACCAACCCUUAUAUGUCGGUGUCUGCAAAGGAACUAUGCUCGUUUUGCCAUUGUUGACUCGACUGAAGUACAAAUACUACAAGUUUAUGUCACAAUAAGCAUUUAGAACAUGACAAAUUUAAUUUUAAUUCUUUAAGAAGUAGGUUCACUUACAAUCAAAAAUGGCAGUGAGGCGGUGAAGUCUCUACUCCUUUCCUCGUUCCAGAAAGCAUGUGUAUGUUUCAGCUUCUCGAUUAGUAAGCCACAUCAGUUGUAGUUUCCACAACCAUCAAUAUCACCAGAAAAAGACACAAUAUCCCUCAUCAAGUGUCGAUACUGAUGGCUUUUUAUAAAGAAGUUGUACAUCAUCACCAAAAAAUUUAAUUUGAAAGUGAUAUCUGCCUCUCGAGAUUGAAGCAUCUUAUCCCUCACCAUGAUAGGUGACACCAUACAUGUUCGCUUUCCAGGAAAUUGACGGCCUCAAAUAUCAUAUGCGGCUUUCUCCUUGCACAACAUAACUUUCUCUAUCCUUUUUGGAAGCUCAAUGGUAAUGUGAACAAUGUCUUCAGUUAUCUCAAUAUUUCCCAAUUUUAAGCUCAAACUGCAUUCGUCCGCUUUAAAUGCAACUACAACAUUAUAUCCGAGUCUAUGUGGGUAUUUCUCUAUCCUCAUAUCUAAGAUACCGCCAAACCCAGUACGCUUUUCCCAAUCAACUUGUUCCUCUGAUAGAUUGACUAGAAUGUCUCGCAUUAAUCAUUAUGAAUGGCCAGAACUUCUUCUGAAUGUAGUUGUCAUAGCUGCUUACUUUUUUAUCCUGUGGUUUAUCAUUUAACUAAGGGUUCUUUGCUGGCAAUGGCCUCACACUGU